AUGAAGCUGGAUUCGCUAGUAAUCGCGCAUCAGCCACGGCGCGGUGAAUACGUUCCCGGGUCUUGUACACACCGCCCGUCACACCAUGGGAGUCGGGAAUGCCCGAAGCCGGCGGCCUAACCUUAUAGGAGGGAGCCGUCGAAGGCAGGCCCGGUGACUGGGGUGAAGUCGUAACAAGGUAAC
rnacentral:rRNA from 1 species